GGGGGGGGCAAGCGUUGUUCGGAAUUACUGGGCGUAAAGGGCGCGCAGGCGGCCCGGCCAGUCCCUUGUGAAAUCCCACGGCUCAACUGUGGAACUGCAGGGGAUACUGCCAGGCUUGAGUCCGGGAGAGGGGAGCGGAAUUCCCAGUGUAGCGGUGAAAUGCGUAGAUAUUGGGAGGAACACCGGUGGCGAAGGCGGCUCUCUGGACCGGUACUGACGCUGAGGCGCGAAAGCUAGGGGAGCAAACGGGAUUAGAUACCCCGGGUAGUCCUAGCUGUAAACGUUGAGCACUUGGUGUGGCGGGUAUCGACCCCCCUGCUGUGCCGAAGCUAACGCAUUAAGUGCUCCGCCUGGGGGAGUACGGUCGCAAGGCCG
rnacentral:rRNA from 1 species